UGAGGAAUAUUGGUCAAUGGGCGCGAGCCUGAACCAGCCAAGUAGCGUGAAGGAUGAAGGUCCUAUGGAUUGUAAACUUCUUUUAUAGCAGAAUAAAGUGACCCACGUGUGGGUUUUUGUAUGUAUGCUAUGAAUAAGGAUCGGCUAACUCCGUGCCAGCAGCCGCGGUAAUACGUAGGGGGCAAGCGUUGUCCGGAUUUACUGGGUGUAAAGGGUGCUCAGGCGGAUUUGUAAGUCAGAGGUGAAAUCUUACAGCUUAACUGUGAAACUGCCUUUGAUACUGCAAGCCUAGAGUAUGGAAGAGAGUGAUGGAAUAUCUGGUGUAGCAGUGAAAUGCGUAGAUAUCAGAUAGAACACCAAUGGCGAAGGCAGUCACUUGGUCCAUUACUGACGCUAAAGCACGAAAGCGUGGGUAGCAAAC
rnacentral:rRNA from 1 species